CCAAUCUUGUGAUGUUUGCAUUACCUACAUUGUCAGAGAAUAACUGAAGAUAACAACACAAAGCUGAAGAUUGG